CAGUGUCACUUGAUAUGUAUGAGAAUAUUAAAUGUAUUAUUAACACGAUUAAUAUUGAACUCUUAAAGUAAUGUGGCCCCGUUGCAACGCACGGGCGUUCUUCUAGUUCCUAUUAGUAUAUCUCUCCCAGGGCCUAUCUACCUACCCCACAUAAAGCCACUGUAGUCGUCCCGCCCCAAACCGGCUCAGACGCGCUGCCAUGUUCUGGGCCACGGCUCGGGCCUGAGACCAUAACGGCCACCAUCCACUGGCCAUCUUAUCUACUGUGUCUCACCUACCACCCAUCCUCCUCUCGAUCCUUCCUGCUCCUCUCUCCUUAUACCAUACAACCUCGCUGCAAGAAACCAGACCGAGGCCAUGUGCUCAUCAGCUUCUUCCUCGUACCAUGAGGCAUGAGAGGAAGCUCCUGCUCAUCCCUUCCCGGAUUGCGGCGGCAAGGUCGUCACCUUUGUCUCGCGGGCCGGAGCCCGGUUCUAUAUGUGCGUAAACAAGGAUGUAAGAUUUCUGCUCCAAUCACUUAAUAUGUGCACUCCGCUCUUAGAUUUACCUUCUUCUCCACCAUGCGCGCAGGCUAGACUAGCGGCUUCAUGAGAUCCACCGACACUUACCUGCCGAAGCUAAGUUGCUAUGACCUGCCCCACGUGCACGGAUUGCAGCAGCCGCUGUUGUCCGUGCAUCCAUCGUCGUCUCUCCAACACAGAUCUCGUCGGGAGCAGCCUUUCCCCGACGAAACACAGAUCAACCACCAAGCUGCACAUGUACGUCCUCAGCCACAGAUUCUGCAGUCGGCCCCUCACUCCGGUUCUUCGUGGUGUUGCUCGUCUGACUCUCAUCGCGUAUUUGGUGCUCCUGGCCGGCAGCAACCUGGUGCUUGUGUUAGCGUGGUUGGUUCUGAUUUUCGGGCAGCAUAACAAUUAGUAUUUCUUUCUAGCUAAGUAGAGCCAGGUGGCAGCGUCCAAGAUGUACUACGAACAUAUGUAAUCCCAAAUAGAUUUUGGUACUAAGCGCUAAGUCCUUUAUCAUUAGCCCUAGUGUUUUCUUGUCUGUAAUCUCGUGUAAGCAUCGGUUUAAGUAAAAAUACUACUGCUGCCAGACAUGAUCACUGUUCCUACACAUUUAAUUAUCCACGGCACCUUCGUUUUUGUUUUCCAACUCUUCACCAUGUGUGCUUCCAAUCCAACAGCUUCAUUUCGUUUUGUCCUAUGGGGGUUGGACAAGCUGAACCUGGGUGGACACGCAGCUUCCUUUUAUGUUCGAAAUUCAAAAAUUUAAACAAGUAUGUGAGGGCAAACUCACCGUUGAAGGAAAUGACAGCAUAAGCGAGGCAUUAAAUGCAAGCACCCACCACACAAUGAAAAACAAACACCUUCCUCAGCACACAUGCCAUGGUGCUUGCAUUCUAAAUUCCCCUAGGAAUCUGCAGGCAUAGUCCAGAGCAAAACUCAGCAUCAGCAAAAUAAUCUGACGCAGAUGAACCAUCAUUGUUUAGAGCAAAACAUGAAAAAAAAUCAAUACUCGGCUGCAACUAAUUUAAACAUAUUUUCCAUGUUUCACCCAUCAUACAGCAAUUGUUACAGUACCUCCAUCGUUACCAAGUCCUGAAAGUUAUAGUCGGAUACAUGAACAUCCGCAAAACAUGACAAUAGAUAAUUCUUGAGUUUGAUUGGCCUGCAACUACAUUCCACCUGCUAUAACCUAAGGUCCAU
rnacentral:lncRNA from 1 species